AGUGAACGCUGGCGGCAGGCCUAAUACAUGCAAGUCGAACGGCAGCACAGUGGAGCUUGCUCCAUGGGUGGCGAGUGGCGGACGGGUGAGGAAUACAUGGGAAUCUGCCCAGUCGUGGGGGAUAACGUAGGGAAACUUACGCUAAUACCGCAUGCGCCCUUCGGGGGAAAGCCGGGGACCUUCGGGCCUGGCGCGAUUGGAUGAGCCCAUGUUCGAUUAGCUAGUUGGCGGGGUAAAGGCCCACCAAGGCGACGAUCGAUAGCUGGUCUGAGAGGAUGAUCAGCCACACUGGGACUGAGACACGGCCCAGACUCCUACGGGAGGUAGCAGUAGGGAAUAUUGGACAAUGGGCGCAAGCCUGAUCCAGCCAUGCCGCGUGAGUGAAGAAGGCCCUCGGGUUGUAAAGCUCUUUUGUCCGGGAAGAAAAGCAUCGGGCUAAUACCUCGGUGUUCUGACGGUACCGGAAGAAUAAGCACCGGCUAACAUCGUG
rnacentral:rRNA from 1 species